rnacentral:rRNA from 1 species
GUGGGGAAUAUUGGACAAUGGGCGCAAGCCUGAUCCAGCAAUGCCGCGUGCAGGAAGAAGGCCUUCGGGUUGUAAACUGCUUUUGUACGGAACGAAACGGUCCGGGUUAAUACCCUGGGCUAAUGACGGUACCGUAAGAAUAAGCACCGGCUAACUACGUGCCAGCAGCCGCGGUAAUACGUAGGGUGCAAGCGUUAAUCGGAAUUACUGGGCGUAAAGCGUGCGCAGGCGGUUUUGUAAGACAGGUGUGAAAUCCCCGGGCUCAACCUGGGAACUGCACUUGUGACUGCAAGGCUAGAGUGUGUCAGAGGGAGGUGGAAUUCCGCGUGUAGCAGUGAAAUGCGUAGAGAUGCGGAGGAACACCGAUGGCGAAGGCAGCCUCCUGGGAUAACACUGACGCUCAGGCACGAAAGCGUGGGGAGCAAACAGGAUUAGAAACCCUGGUAGUCC